GACGAACGCUGGCGGCGUGCCUAAUACAUGCAAGUCGAGCGAAGUUUUUCUGGUGCUUGCACUAGAAAAACUUAGCGGCGAACGGGUGAGUAACACGUAAAGAACCUGCCUCAUAGACUGGGACAACUAUUGGAAACGAUAGCUAAUACCGGAUAACAGUAUUUCUCGCAUGAGAGAUAUUUAAAAGUUGGUUAUGCUAACACUAUGAGAUGGCUUUGCGGUGCAUUAGCUAGUUGGUGGGGUAAAGGCCCACCAAGGCGACGAUGCAUAGCCGACCUGAGAGGGUGAUCGGCCACACUGGGACUGAGACACGGCCCAGACUCCUACGGGAGGCAGCAGUAGGGAAUCUUCCGCAAUGGGCGAAAGCCUGACGGAGCAACGCCGCGUGAGUGAAGAAGGAUUUCGGCUCGUAAAGCUCUGUUGUUAGGGAAGAAUGGAUAUGUAGUAACUAUACAUGUAAGAGACGGUACCUAACCAGAAAGCCACGGCUAACUACGUG
rnacentral:rRNA from 1 species